AAAAAAUUCAAUGUCGGCUGCGGGAUAUGUAUAACGGUCUUCUACGCAUCCUCCACUCACAUGCUUUCGAAAUGCCGUACUCCUUCGAUCUCUACUGUCCAUUUCAAGCGACACUUAUCUUCUUCACCAAACCUCCCUCAAAAGACCCCCCAAUUACGCACCUUGAGGCCGAAACUGAAUCCAUCUCUCACAUCGAGUACACUAGUAAACUCGGCACUGCAUUCCGAGUCGACUCGCUUCUUCUCUCACGCCCUCAAAAUCUCAGCCAAAAUGGGUCUCCUUCACGAAGGGAAACAACUACAUUCACACAUAAUAAAAUUAGGAUUGAAUAAUGUACUGUCUUUGGAAGUACAAAUGCUAAAUUUAUACGUUAAAUGCAAGCAUUUAUUAUCGGGCGCUGAGAAAUUGUUCGAUGAAAUGCGUCUGCGAAACUUGGUGACGUGGAAUACAAUGAUUUGUAACUCGAGUCUUUAUCUGGGUUGUUCUUAUUUUAAGAAAAUGUUGAUAAACAACGUAGGUUUUGAUCAUAUAACUUUGAACGCUUUGCUACGUGCUUCCACUGUGCUAAAUGAUGUCGUUUUUGGUAGAGAAUUGCAUUGUUUUAUAGUGAAGUUGGGGUUUUUAUUUGAUUGUUUUGUGAGCAGUGCUCUUGUUGAUUUAUAUGGGAAAUGUGGUUUAGUUGAAGAAGCGAGAUGGGUUUUCGAUCAAGUGUUUUGUAGAGAUUUGGUGUUGUGGAAUGUGAUCCUUUCUUCUUAUGUUUGGAAUUCUUUAACAGAAGAGGCUUUUGAGGUUUUUGAUCUGAUGAGGACGGAAGGUGUUAAAGGGGAUGGUUAUACGUUUUGUUCUUUGCUUAAUUCUUGCGGUAGUUGGGGAUUUUAUGAGCUGGGGAGGCAGGUUCAUGAUCUCAUUAUUAAACUUUGUUUUGAUUUAGACGUUCCUGUGGCAAGUGCACUUGUUGAUAUGUAUGUAAAGAGUGGAAAUCUAUAUGAUGCCCGAAAAGCUUUUGAUGGGAUGACUGCUAGAAAUGUUGUGUCUUGGAAUACUAUGAUUGUAGGUUAUGGGCAGUAUGGAGGUGUGGAGAAGGCUAUGGAACUCCUUAGAGAAAUGAGGCUACAAAAUUUCUGUCCAGAUGAACUAACUAUGGCAAGCAUACUUCGCUCAUGUGGUAUUUUAUCCGCCUCUGGUGAAAUGGGGCAAGUCCACGCUUAUGUGGUUAAAAAUGGGUUUGAGUCCAUUUUAUCAGUUGCAAAUGCUUUAAUAAAUGCAUACUCCAAGUGUGGUAGCAUUGAUGGUGCAUUUCAAUGUUUUCUUUCAGUUGCAAAGCCUGACCUUGUUACAUGGACAUCAAUUAUAGCUGCUUAUUCAUUCCAUGGUCUUUCAAAAGAAAGUAUUAUAGUUUUUGAGAAAAUGUUAGCUACUGGUGUAAAGCCAGAUCAAAUUGCCUUUCUUGGUAUUCUUUCUGCCUGUAGCCAUGGAGGGCUGUUGAAUGAGGGGCUUCAUUAUUUCAAUAUAAUGAUGAAUGACUAUCAAAUCGUUCCAGAUUCAGAGCACUAUACUUGUCUCGUUGAUCUGCUCGGUCGAUUUGGUCUUCUUGAUGAGGCUUUUGAUGUCUUAACAUCUCAUCCCAUUGCAUGUACACCGGACACCUUGGGAGCAUUCAUAGGGGCAUGUAACAUCCAUGGCAACAUAACAUUGGCCAAGUGGGCAGCAGAAGAGCUUGUUGUCUUGGAGCCGAACAAACCUGAGAAUUAUACUCUUAUCUCUAACAUUUAUGCUUCUAAAGGGAGAUGGUUAGAUGUGGAAAGUGUCAGAAAAAUGAUGAAAGACCAUUGUGAUUACAAAAUUCCUGGUUGUAGCUGGAUGGAGAUUGCUGGUGAUGUUAAUGUGUUUGCCUCAAGUGAUAAAUCUCAUCCUAAAACUUUAGACAUGUGCACUAUAUUAUCUGGUCUAAUGAAGCAGGAAUAUAGCAUUUUGACUGCCAAGGAUACGUGCUUCAGCAAUAUGGAUGAGCGUGCUCUUUAAAUCAUUUUCUUAUCAUUUUGCGGUAAGGAUUGCCCACUCUAAAUGAAUCUGCAUGUUCCAUUAACGUGAAACUUUAGAUUCGCCCCUGCAUAUCGAACUUUCUAAAUUGCUGACACUACAUAACAGAGAAUUUACAUGGCUGCAUCAAUUCUACUUCUCUGCAUCUUUUUUAUUUAUUGUUUGCUACUAAAUGUUGGUCACCAACUAACCUUCAAGUAAUUGAGCUCUAUGAGAAAAUCACCAUAAUCUAUGAUAAACUAGAAUAAGAACAUUGUCAAAUAUUUGCUGACUUUAUCAUCAUGGCUAGUUUGUGGUUGUAAGACUGGUUUCAUCUUGCUAGGCCAAGUUGGGCUGUACAGGUCAAGGUUUGAACUGAAUUCCUGUACAGUUGACAAACAAAAAAUAAAUCUCACCAUAUGCAGUUGGCAAACCAAGCUUUCGCUGACUUAGCUGAAAUGGGAUCUGGCAUGAUCUACUUAUGAGUCAACAAAUCUUUCUAUGGUAUGAUUUCGAAUCAUCUAUUUAGAAAUGUGUUUCAUAUGGCAUUUUUUGUCCAAUUGAUGAACAAUUUUAUGCUGAUUGAUAAGUGCCAAUGGUUUUUUACCAUUAUGGAAUUGAACGAAUACAUCUGUUUAAGUUUUGUAUAUGGUUUAGUAGUGUCUAGUAGUAGUCUAUUUACUAUGUGUCAUCUAACAGAGGUGCUGAUUGAAAGGUUUACUUGAAAGUCUGGUAACUUUCAACUAACUAGAGAACUCUGUCGAUCUUCCAUCUAACUCUACCACAAAUCAUUGGUUUAAACCCUGACAAUCUUCAUCCUAACUGCAGAACAGAGAUGAUUGACUUCUAAUCUAAGGGGAAAUGCCUUACUCCUACUAGAAUUGAGGAACAAUUAAUGCUUUCCUUUUCUACGUAGUAUGUUUGUGAAGAGUUGUUGCUUGCAAGUAGCUGUGCACAGGAAAUUGCGGGAAGGAGGGCUGAAGAGCUUCAAGAUCUCCAGAGAAUUAUUAUUUGACACGGUUGCUUGGAUGAAAACUGAAUAUUUAUCCUCCAGGUGGUCUGGGUCUUGUGGUGACUUGUUACUUCUAGUGAUAAAGGUAUGCUUCCCGGUCACAAUGACAACAACAUGCAUUGGAAGAACAUGGAUUGGACUUCUGGAUAUGGAAGUUCUAUACGCAUGGUGUGAAGGGUUGAGAUUUAAAAGAACUAGCAAGAUUGCAGGCCAGUCUCAGAAAUGUCUAAAGUCCAUUAUUAUUACCAUCUGGCCUUGCAGAUAACGAUCUGUGUUGAUGAACAUGCAUCCCCCUUUCUGGAUUGAUGAAAACCAUUUACACCAGCCAGCAGUUUAAAGCUCAAUGUACGGUUGGAUGAGAAUGUUGUUGAUGUUGUUUGUGUUAUGUCGUGCUGCCUUAUAUCUGCAGACAUGAAGUGGAAGGUAUUCUAUCUAUGUCAAUGCGGUUUAAGUAGUGGGUCAGCUUGGGCUAGGACACCUCAACCUCCAUUUUUGAUCCAAGGUUGCUGUUUUCAGCUAGUAGUUGUUUGCAAGAAUCCUUGAUGGAACCUACCAUUAUACUUCUUUGUAGUUCAGUGUUUUGGUGGGCAAACUUAGAUUGAUUCCGACAUUUGACUUGAUCGACCUUAUUUUUCGGCAUAGCCAAGUAGUUGUUAUUGGCCGUCGCCAUUAACUGACACUCGUCAAUUAACGUUUACCCGUUGUUGUCUUUUGUUUUGUUUAGCAUG